CUCUUAUUCAGAACAGUGGAGGCAGAAGGGCCUUUGAAGCUGUGGCAACCCCGCAAGGCGGAAGGUGCCAACCUGAGCGAGUCAGUGAGAA
rnacentral:ncRNA from 2 species